rnacentral:rRNA from 1 species
AUGAACCACACUCUAAAACCAGUAUUACGCAUAUGUGCUUUGGUAUUUUUUGAUGAUAUAUUGAUCUUCUCAGCUACCUUCGAGCAGCACUUGCAGCACCUUCGAGAGGUUUUGCACCUUUUGCGCAAGGAUAAGUGGCAAGUCAAGGCUUCCAAAUGCUCUUUUGCUCAGCGAGAACUUUCUUACUUGGGGUUCGUCGUUAGUGAACAGGGGGUGUCCACCGAACCAGACAAAAUUCAGCAAGUCCAACAGUGGCCUGUUCCGCUCAAUGUCAAACAGUUGCGUCAAUUCUUGGGGCUUUCAGGAUAUUAUCGCAAGUUCGUUCGUCACUAUGGCAUCAUUGCCAAACCUUUGACACAUUUGCUGAAGAAACAUGUUCCUUUUGUUUGGACAAGCGAUUGCACAACUGCAUUUGACACCCUGAAGCACUCUUUGGUGACAGCUCCGGUUCUCGCUCUACCAAAUUUUAGCAAGCAAUUCGUCGUCGAGACUGACGCAAGCGACCUGGGAGUCGGAGCAGUUCUACAGCAAGAGGGACAUCCAUUGGCAUUCUUGAGUAAACCUUUGGGACCGCGUAACAAGGGGCUGUCCACUUAUGAAAAAGAGCUUCUUGCAAUCUUGAUAGCCGUUGAACAUUGGCGACCAUACUUGCAAACAGCCGAGUUCUUGAUCAAAACAGAUCAACGCAGUUUGGUGCAUCUCGAAGACCAACGGUUAAAUACCCCAUGGCAACAAAAGGCAUUCACCAAGUUGUUGGGUCUUCGCUACAGAUUGUGCUACCGGAAA